rnacentral:rRNA from 1 species
CGUGAGGGAAAGGUGAAAAGCAUCCCGAUGAGGGAGAUGAAAUAGUAUCUGAAACCAUAUGUUAACAAGGAGUCAGAGCAGUGCUUGCACUGCAAUGGCGUACUUUUUGUAGAACGGGCCAACGAGUUAAUUUUAUACGGCUUGCAUAAAUCACUCUGUGAGAUAUGCGUAGUGAAAGCGAGGCUUAACCGCCGACCAUUGUCGUAUGAAUUAGACCCGAAGCCAGGCGAGCUACGCAUGAGCAGGGUGAACCCCAAGUAACAUUGGGGGGAGGCCCGAACCCACUAAUCGUUUAACGUUAGGGGAUGACUUGUGCGUAGGGGAGAAAUUCCAAUCGAGCUUGGCGAUAGCUGGUUCUCUCCGAAAUAGCUUUAGGGCUAGCGUUCGGGAAAUGAGCAAGGGAGGUAGAGCUACUGGAUGAGUUUUCGCGGUUCGCCGUAGAACACUCAACCAAACUCCGAAUUCUUUUGUUUCUUAUCCGGGCAGUUAGAACCUCGGCGCUAAGGUCGAGGCUCAAAAGGGAAAAAGCCCAGAUCAUAAUCUAAGGUCCCAAAAUUUAUGUUAAGUGGUAAAGGAAGUGAAAUUUCUGAAACACCUAGUAGGUUGGCUUAGAAGCAGCCAUCCUUUAAAGAGUGCGUAAUAGCUCACUAGCUUAGAGAUUUCGCGUCGAAGAUGUAACGGGGCUAAACAUAAUACCGAAGAUAUGGACUUGUCACUUUUAGUGAUGAGUGGUAGGAGAGCGUUCUUUAUGCGAUGAAGUCAAAGGCGUGAGCCAUGGUGGAGCGUAGAGAAGUGAGAAUGUUGGCAUGAGUAACCGCAAUGUGAGUGAGAUCCUCACACCCCGAAAAUCCAAGGUUUCCUGGGCAAUGGCAAUCAUCCCAGGGUUAGUCGAUCCUAAGGCAAGGCCGAAAGGCGUAGUCGAUGGACACACGGUUAAUAUUCCGUGACUACAAUAAUAUUCGAUGGAGUGACGCAUUUUAGUACCUACCGCACAUAAUUGGAUUUGUGUAGGGUAUUUAAGGACGUAUGGUAGGAAAAUCCGCCAUACAUUAAGUCCAAGAAUAUUCUGGAAGCCGCUCUUCGGAGUGGCGCACGGUAGAGAGCAGAGUGCCAGGAAAAGCUUCUAAGGUUCGUAUUAUUGUAAUCGUACCAAAACCAACACAGGUAGAUAGGGCGAGUAGCCCAAGGGGAACGAGAGAACCUUCGUUAAGGAACUCGGCAAAAAAUCUAGACGUAAGUUAGCGAGAUGUCUUCCCGUCCUACUUCGGUAGGUCGGGCGCAGCUAAAGAUUCCCUAGCGACUGUUUAUCUAAAACACAGGUCUCUGCAAAAGCGCAAGCUGAAGUAUAGGGGCUGACACCUGACCAGUGCUGGAACGUUAACGGAAGCGGUUCACGCCAAUUCCCGAAGCGCCAGUGAACGUCGGCGAUAACUAUAAUCGUCCUAAGGUUCUAAUUCUACUGUAGUAGUGGAAUUAGAAUAACUGGGACGAUUGGUAGUAAAUGAUAAACAAGCUAUGAUAUAAACAUGCAAAAGGAAAAGUAAACGCCUAUCUCGAUUAAUUAAUUUUUUCGGGAUGUAAAUCAGCUAUAUGCUGGAAAGUCUGGAGUAUCUGAAGCUACUUGAUUAUAAAUUUUUAUUUAUAAUCAGUAAAAAUGCUAUCAGUGCAGAUAAUCAGCAGGAAAGAUUCUAAUUUAUUAGAAAAUCCUCAGAGACUAACAUGCUGAUUCCAUAAUUUAUUUUAUGGAAAGAUAUAGUCCGUGCUAUGUGGCGACACAUAGAUAACAAAACAGAGCGAAAUUCCUUGUCAGGUAAAUUCUGACCCGCAUGAAAGGUGUAACGACUGGGGAACUGUCUCAACGAAGGACUCGGUGAAAUUGCAAUGGGGGUAAAGAUGCCCCCUACCUGCGGCAAGACGAAAAGACCCCGUGGAGCUUUACUACAGCUUGGCAUUGAAUUAGAGUUCUAGCUGCCGAGAAUAGGUGGGAGACUUUGACGCUUUAACUCAGGUUAAAGAUGAGUCACCAGUGGAAUACCACCCUGUUAUUAUUUUAAUUCUAACCCUGUGCUGUUAUCUGUAUUUUAAAAUUAGUCACUAAUUGAGAAUACGGCUUCAUAUAAAUGUUUUUUUACUUUGUUUAUGAUCCAAUAGAAAAUUAAAUUCUCUAUUAGUGCCUUUAAAAUUCAGAUACCAGCACGGGAACAGUGCCUGGUGGGUAGUUUGAGUGGGGCGCUCGCCUCCUAAAUUGUAACGGAGGCGCUUACAAAGGUUGGCUAGGCCCGGAUGGAAAUCGGGUUGAUAGUACAAAAGCACAAGCCAGCUUUACUGAAAGACUAAUCAGUUGCUCAGUCACGAAAGUGGAAUUUAGUGAACCGACCAUCGCUUGUAGGAGCGUGGAAGAUCAUCAGAUAAAAGUUACCCCGGGGAUAACAGGCUAAUAGUGUCCAAGAGUUCACAUCGACGACACUGUUUGGCACCUCGAUGUCGGCUCAUCUCAUCCUGGGGCUGGAGCAGGUCCCAAGGGUAUGGCUGUUCNNNNNNNNNNNNNNNNNNNNNNNNNNNNNNNNNNNNNNNNNNNNNNNNNNNNNNNNNNNNNNNNNNNNNNNNNNNNNNNNNNNNNNNNNNNNNNNUAAAGAGGUACGCGAGCUGGGUUCAAACCGUCGUGAGACAGGUUGGUCUCUAUCUGCCGUAGGCGUUAAUUACUUGAGAGGAUUCUUUCCUAGUACGAGAGGACCGGAAAGAGCAAACCUCUGGUGUAUCGGCUGUUCCGCCAGGAGCAAUGUCGAGUAGCUAUGUUCGUAAAGGAUAACCGUUGAAAGCAUCUAAACGGGAAGCCAACCUCAAGAUAAGGUAAUAUAGUUUCCUAGAAGAAGACUAGGUUGAUAGGUUUUAGGUGUAAGUAUAGUGAUAUAUUUAGCCAAGAAAUACUAAUAAAACUAAACCUUUU